UAUUUUUGGAAAAAUAAGAUUUUAAACUAAAUAAUACUAACUUAAUGAGAACAUAAAAAAGGGGUAGCUUUGUGAAAAAGAGGGGGAGAAGUAGAACAAAAUGGAGGCAGCAGAGGCAGAGUACUUCUCCAAGGACUUCGAAUGGGAUGAACUCAGAGCAGAGGUCGAAAACGACCCAUCGUUUCGCUACCACUUGCUCCCUUUCGAAUCUUCAACAAUUCCCUCUUCACAAACAACAAGAGCAACAACAGCAGAAGAAGAAGAAGAUUCAACGGCAUGGAAGAGAUUUCAUAUCCGUCACUCCUCCGGCAAAUUCUUCAAGGAGAGACGGUAUUUACUAAAGGAGUUCCCAGAACUAGUUUCAUGUGGAGAAUCUUCUAAGGUUUUGGAGGUGGGAUGUGGCAAUGGCAGUACUGCUCUUCCAAUUUUACGUGGCAAUGAACACAUCAUUGUUUAUGCGUGCGAUUGUAGUAGUGAGAUUCUUGAGAGGGCUGAAGAGAUUAUAGAUGCCGCUACUGUAGUGUCUGUUAGACAUCGUUUCCGUACAUUCUGUUGUGAUUUCUCUGUCACUGGUCUUCCAAAGUGGUUGGCCUGCCAUACUUGCCGUGAAGUUUUCCUUCAAAAGCAGCAAAAUUGCCUGUCAGAUGUUAAAGAGAGUCAUGAAAGGCAUUAUAAUGAUUCAAAUUCAUUGAAAGAAAGUACCUGUUGCAUUGGCGGUAUGGAUUUUGUGACCUUGAUAUUUACACUAUCAGCUGUAACAUUCCAGAGGAUGCCAGCAUCCAUUAAGGAGUGCUUUUCUGUUUUAAAGCCAGGAGGCAUGCUCUUAUUUAGGGAUUACGGCCUCUAUGAUAUGACCAUGCUUCGAUUUGAGCCCAACCAAAGAGUAGGGUUCAUGGAGUACAUGCGAUCAGAUGGAACCCGUUCUUAUUUCUUCUCUUUAGAUACUGUCAGAGAUCUCUUUGUGGGUGCAGGCUUCAUUGAGCUUGAGCUUGAAUAUUGUUGUGUUAAAUCUGUGAAUCGCCGAAAUGAGAAGACCAUGCAGAGGGUGUGGGUUCAUGGGAAGUUUCAGAAGCCCAUGUGAAUUAUUUAUCAAGAUACCUUUCUUUUUGAGGUACUAUUUGAAGAGAUAAUGAUUUUUUUUAACCCUACAGUUUGCUCCGAAAAACUGUUCUUUAAUAUUUGGAAUUCUAAGGAUAGAUACCUACAUCAUUUCAAUUGAUGCAAAUUGCAGCAAAGAUUACAUACUGUGUCAUCACAUGGCGAAGUGGAGAUGGAAUGGAGUUUGGAAAUGUGAUUUCAUUCCACAUUCUUGAAUGUGGAAUAUGUAAGGCGAUUAUUAUUAGUAUUUAUUUAUUUUUGGAAUUUGGGUGAAAGCCUUGGCCAUUAAUUUGUUUCAAAUUUCGGAUAAGUGCCUUAUUUUUGGGGCUGAGAUGAAUGGGUUCCCUUAUUGUAGCAACUCUCUCUCUCUCUCUCACAAAGCUUAGACAAACCUUAGACACCCAAAGCUUGUACUUGCAACCUUUUGUAUGGUUGAUACUUAUGUGUCUUCAUUUCAUGUGUGGCUUGUAGAUGGUUGUUUUAAAUCGACUUUGUUGUGCGACAAGAUUUUAGUUUUAACCA